rnacentral:rRNA from 1 species
AACGAACGCUGGCGGCAGGCCUAACACAUGCAAGUCGAACGCCCCGCAAGGGGAGUGGCAGACGGGUGAGUAACGCGUGGGAACGUGCCCUUCGCUUCGGAAUGGCCCCGGGAAACUGGGAGUAAUACCGAAUACGCCGUAUUGGGAAAGAUUUAUCGGCGAAGGAUCGGCCCGCGUUAGAUUAGCUAGUUGGCGGUGUAAUGGACCACCAAGGCUACGAUCUAUAGCUGGUCUGAGAGGAUGAUCAGCCACACUGGGACUGAGACACGGCCCAGACUCCUACGGGAGGCAGCAGUGGGGAAUCUUGGACAAUGGGCGCAAGCCUGAUCCAGCCAUGCCGCGUGAGUGAAGAAGGCCUUAGGGUUGUAAAACUCUUUCGCCGGAGAAGAUAAUGACGGUAUCCGGAGAAGAAGCCCCGGCUAACUCUGUGCCAGCCGCCGCCGUAAAAC